rnacentral:rRNA from 1 species
UACGUAGGCAGCAAGCGUUGUUCGGAGUUACUGGGCGUAAAGGGUGCGUAGGCGGCUUCUUAAGUCUGGUGUGAAAUCUCCCGGCUCAACCGGGAGGGUGCGCCGAAUACUGAGUGACUAGAGUGCGGGAGAGGAAAGUGGAAUUCCUGGUGUAGCGGUGAAAUGCGUAGAUAUCAGGAGGAACACCGGUGGUGUAGACGGCUUUCUGGACCGUAACUGACGCUGAGACACGAAAGCGUGGGUAGCAAACAGG